AACCGUUUUGUGUUCCAUCACAGAAUGGGUCGCAAGCUUUGCAGGAUUCUGCAGGCCAUUGAGGUCCUCAUAGCAGAGAUGCAUGCCUUUAGGUUCAAGUACCGACCACAGCCACAGGUGUCCAAGCAGUGGAGGCAGACCGAUUGUGUUAUCAUUGAUCCACAAGAAAUUGCCAGCAGAUCCAGAGACAAAGAUAAGAAGAACAUUAUUGAUAUACUAGUUGGUGGAGCUAGCAAUUCAGAUCUCACAGUUGUCACCCUCGUCGCGAUGGGGGGCCUUGGCAAGACCACAUUAGUGCAACUCAUAUACAAUGAACCUGAAGUUCAGAAGCAUUUCCAGUUGCUGAUCUGGGUCUGUGUCUCUGACACCUUUGAUGUGAACUCCCUGGCCAACAAUAUAGUUGAAGCAUCUCCCAAUAAGAAUGUUGAUACAGACAAACCACCACCGGAUAGACUUCAAAAAUUGGUCAGCGGACAGCGGUAUCUCCUUGUAUUGGAUGAUGUCCGGAACAACAAAGAGUUCUGUAAAUAG
rnacentral:rRNA from 1 species